ACGUCAUCACAGAGCGCCCAGCCGCCAGGGCGUGUGGAGACGCGAUGCUGAGCCGGCUCCAGGAGCUGCGCAAGGAGGAGGAGACGCUGCUCCGGUUGAAGGCGGCACUGCACGACCAGCUGAACCGGCUCAAGGUUGAAGAAUUGGCCCUCCAAUCAAUGAUUAGUUCUAGAAGAGAGGAUGAAAUGCCGUCUUCUCCAGCUGCACAGGAACAGUCACAUGAUCAGGUGGUGGUGCAUGUAGACAAUGAAGCAUCCAUCAACCAAACUGCACUGGAGUUGAGCACAAGGAGCCAUGCACCAGAAGAGGAGGAGGAGGAGGAAGAAGAAGAAUCAGAUUCGUGAAGUGGGGAAAGAGCCAGGCCCCAGCCUGGCAUCCCGAGACAGGGAACCAGCCCUCCAGAAAUGACCGACAGUAAGCAACCCCCACACUCCACCUGGAGCACACCAUGACACUCACAGCUAAGGGGCCUCCCAGGGGUCCUUGGCCGGGGUGGUGUCUCAGCCGCAUCUCCCUCCACCUGGCACCCAAACAGCAGCUCCAGCUCCUUGGCAUCUGGAGGAGGGAUGGGAUACCUCCCAACCGCCAUCUCAACCAGAGAGAGCCCCAUGCUCCAGAUGUCCGACUGCACCGAGUAAUGAGUCCCCUGGAGUCUCUCUGGCUGCAGGAGAGACAAACAGUUACAAACACCUGUGAGCCAACCUGGGCCCACGCAGAAGAGGGGUGGAGUCCCUCAACGGGAGCCUCAGGACUUCCUGCCCCCGUGAGACUUGCCUGCACUGCAGGAGCAUGGACUUCCCCUGGGUCUGCUGAACCGCAUCCAGCCCAGCUGUGGUUCCAGCGCUGCCCAGCCUGGCCACCGUCCUGCAUGGGUGGGCACUCUGUCCAGAGCCCAGCAUGAGAGGCUCACCUUGUUACCUGCGUCUGAAACAUGAAGCUUCUGGAACAUGGGUCAUGAAUGAGAUGGUGCAGUGAGUGGAAAGAAGUUUGAAGCCCAGCUCUACCAAUGACUCACUGCUUUUGGAAUGGCAGAAAAGCAAAACGAUCUGGGUUCAGAAGACAUGGGUUCAAAUCCCACUCUGGGACUUCUAAGCUACAUGAUCCUGAGCCUCCAUGCCCACAUCUCUAAGAUGGGGGCUGGCGAUGAUGGUAACAACAGUAAUAACAUAAAAUAUGCGCCCCACUUACUAGGGUGAUCAGGGAGUUCAAAGCAAACGAAAAUACAUGUUGUAUGUUGCAAAAUAUUGUAUGAGUUGUUACUAGUGGGAAGAGGCAAAGAAAAAGAAUAUAGUGCUAUAUAAAAGCAUUAUUUGAAAUAGCACAUGUAUUUCAAAAACUGUAUAAAAAUCCUUAUUCUGACCAUCA